AGGUUUGCACAAUGCCAGUAUCACAGCCAAUGAGGUUUAUCUGAGGCACAAGUAUUGCUAAUUGAAAACUUUCCCAAUACCCCACCACGACAACUUGCCAUAUAGUUGGCACUGGCAACUUUUGACAGUCUCUAUGGGGA